rnacentral:rRNA from 1 species
UACGAAGGGGGCUAGCGUUGUUCGGAAUCACUGGGCGUAAAGGGCGCGUAGGCGGCUUUAUAAGUCGGGGGUGAAAGCCUGUGGCUCAACCACAGAAUUGCCUUCGAUACUGUAGAGCUUGAGACCGGAAGAGGUAAGUGGAACUGCGAGUGUAGAGGUGAAAUUCGUAGAUAUCGGGAGGAACACCAGUGGCGAAGGCGACUUCCUGGCCUGUUCUUGACGCUGAGGCGCGAAAGCUAGGGGAGUAAACGGG